UAUCCGGUGGAGAGCGGCUAAUGAGGCCCUCUUCACCGGAAAACGAAAUGCAGCCAUCAAAGGCUUUGAAGCUUUUGUGAUGGAGCAGGGCCUGCAAGACAGGGUGACGGCGGCCUUUGUA